CUUUGCAUUGUUGAGGUCUCUUAUGAUGCUCAUUUGGUCCUUGCAGGGCAAUCUUUUACUGGCAGAAACUCCAAGGAAGUCAAAGGCCACUGUGAGGAGACUAGGGUGGAUGAAGUUGCAGUAUAACAAUAUCAUGCUCAGAAUAAUGAUACCUCUUUGUGUUUCAAUAGAAAGCAGAGGUUUUCAAAGGGAGGCAACUACAAAGAACAAGUACAAUCUCACCCAGCAAAUAGGUGUAUUGAAGCACAAGGUGGCUUUGUUUCUGGAGUCAGAUACUUUAUUGCUAUGCAUCAGUAGCUGGGCAGUAACAGAAGCAAAUGCCAUAUCUGAUAAACCUGAAAGUAGAUGGGUUAUUCUUAUUCCAGUUGAGAGGCCUGUCUUUUAUGAUGUUAAUGAUGCUCAGAGUGUUGAUAGAAAUGCAGAUAUAAUCAGGAGAAAACCAC
rnacentral:lncRNA from 1 species